UAACCCCUUAUCCCCCCCUUAAUCCCCAACCAAACACCAAUGGUUGUCACACCCCAAUAAUUUCACAUCGGAUAGAAAUAGAGAUGUGAUUGGAUAUAUAAGAGAUUUAAAUACUAGUAAUAAUAACUGAACUUAAGCAUUUUAGGCCGGUGUUUGGGCCCAACGAGUUAUUGUUGCUAGUGGGCUGGGUCGUUACAGUUAGUAUCGGAUCUGAUUUACCAGCCGAAAAUGUGUGGCGAGUCUCGACCAGGGUCUGGAUGAUAAGGCUAGCGGGCCUGGUGAUUUUAGGCUGUGUGUGUAAUUGGAUUGACGAGAACGUCAGGAUCUUAAUGGGGGAUUGGAUUGAUGAGAACAUCAGGAUCUUAAUGGGGGAGUCUGUCACACCUCAAUAGUCCUACAUCGGAUAGGAGACUCGGGAGAGUCUGUCACACUUCAAUAGUCCUACAUCGGAUAGGGGGAGUCCGUCAUAUCUCAAUAAUCCCAUAUCGGAUAGGAAUGAGAAUCUAAAUUAGACACUAGUAAUAAUAAUUGCACUUAAGCAUUUUGGACUGGUGUUUGGGCCCAACGAAUUAUUGUUGCUAGUGGGAUAGGUCUGGGCCCAAUAAGUUAUUGUUGCUAGUGGGAUAGGUCGUUAUAAUAGUGCAAUUCUUUUACUAUAUAAUGUAACAUUUGUCCCUAUAAUGCAACUUUGUUUUAAAUAGUACAAUAUCGCAUCGUUUGCCAGAAUUUUCUCUCGUACUACAGCCACCAUCACAUCGCCAUCG
rnacentral:lncRNA from 1 species